rnacentral:lncRNA from 1 species
GAAAAGUAAGUGAGUUUCUUGCUUUUGAUCUAGUUUGAAAUCUUUAGUCAAAGGGGGUGAUUAUGUUGUCAAAACGAUAUGAGAUUUUGUGCUUCCAAUUUGGUACCUGAAUCUCAUUGGCAAAGGACCUAGGUAUUUCUGGCUGAGGUUCUUGGGCUCUUCUUACUUAAGCAAGUGGAGUACCUUGGGCUCCAUCAACAACUCUAUUUUUAGCUUCAGUUGGUG